AUGUCAUGGCUUAAAAUAAAUUUCCUUCAAAGUGAAGUUUUAUGCAUAGGGGAUGAUGAUGACAUACUUACCUUCUACUCCGAGCUCUUUAAUUCCCAAAUUGGGCAUUUUCCUAUGGAAUAUCUAGGGGUUCCUGUGAGUUACUCCACUCUUCGUGCAUUAGACUGGGAUUUUGUGGAUGAUAGAUUCCUCAAAUGCUGUGAAUCUUGGAUUGGAAAUGCAGCAUCUUCUGGGGGGAGACUGACCUUACUCAACUCCUCCCUUACUAGCAUCAUAUUCUACUACAUGUCUAUGUUUAUGCUAUCUAAGAAAGUGAUUGAGAAGUUAGAUAAGCACAGAAAAAAGUUCUUUUGGCAGGAAACUGAUGGUCGGAAAAGAUACCACUUGGUCAAGUGGUCUAGAAUUUGUAGGUCCAAAAACAAAGGGGGGCUAGGAGUUAAAGAUCUGCAUAGACAAAAUAUCAGCCUACUCACCAAAUGGUGGUGGAAAUUGGAAACCCAGAAAGGGCUUUGGCAGGAGGUGAUUUGUGCUAAAUAUUUCAGAAAUGACACGAUCCCCUCAGUAAAAAGUAAGUUUGGGGAUUCCCCUAUUUGGAAAGCUAUUAUGAAAGUAAAGGAAGUGUAUUUUGUAGGGAGGAAAGUGAUCUCGAACUCUGGUAAUGUAGGCAGAGUUUGGAUUGAUUCUAUUAGAGGUGCUCCCUUGAGAAAUAAAUUCCCAGCCUUAUUCCACAUCUGCAACUAUCAAGAGAUUACUGUUGCUGAGUUUAAAAUUUUUGACGGUAGUGACCUGUUCAGAAGAAAUUUGCACCCUCCCCUCACGGAUCAGUGGAAGGAUCUGGUUGAGGUGGUUAACUCCUGGCAAUAA
rnacentral:rRNA from 1 species